UCCUCCUCCCCCAUAGGCUCCGCCCCCGCCGUUGUCCCCGAGGUCACCAUCCACCCCCCGUCCCGGGAGGACUUCGAAGGUCCCCACCGCAACUCCACCCUCCUCUGCCAGUACCGGGGACCUCGGGCCUUGUCCCCGACCUCCUUCCGCUGGUUGAAGAACGGGGUCCUCCUCACCCAAGGGGUCACCACCCGCGGGCCGUUGGCCGACGGCCACGGGGGCUACCUCACCAGCAGCCGGGCCACCGUCACCGAGGAGGAGUGGGACGCGGGGACCAUCUACACCUGCCAGGCGGAGGAGGAGAUGAGGAACACCAGUAAAGCCCUGGAGUGCGGCUACGGCCGGCCGGAGGGGGACGAGGACAUCUCCGUGCAGGUGGUCCCCCCGGCCUUCGUGGACAUCUUCAACGACAAGGUAGCCAAACUGACCUGCAAAGUAGCCAACUUGCCCAGCGUGGAAGGUUUGGUGAUCACCUGGUGGAAAGAAAUGGGAGAAAAACUGGAAACCAAAAUUUCCCCCCAAAUCUUACAGCCCAACGGGCUCUUCGGGGUGGAGGGGGUGGCCACCGUCUGCGCCGACGACUGGGCCAAGGGCCACCUCUACACCUGCAAGGUGGCCCACCCCCAGCUCCUCUUCCCCGCCGAGGCCCAGCUCCAGAAGGUCAACGGUAGGUCCACGGGGAAAGAAUCGGGGGGAAAAUGGGGGAAAUUGAAUCAAUUUUGGGAAAUUUGGGGGAAAAUUGAGGAAAUCGGAACGAAAUUUGAGAAUUUUGGGAGAAACGGGUGA